GUGUGUGUGUGUGUGUGUGUGUGUGCGUGCGCGUGCGCACGCGCGCACGCACAUGCUCAUGCCCACAAAGGCUUCAAGAGGACAUUAGAUCCCCUGGAUCUGGAGCUAAAGGUGAUUGUGAGCUGCCUGAAAAUGAUGUUGGGAACUGAACUCUGGUCCUCUGGAAGAUCAGUUAGCAUUAUUUUUCUUUCUUUUCAAGUUGAAGUGACUUUUAAACAAGAAAGUUGAUCAUUGUCUUUCAUAGAAACUUAUAUAGGUAAGAAAAGAUAUGAGGAACUGGAAUUCACUUUUUCUUGCCACACCCAGCAGGGAGUUUCACCAGUAGAAAGGAUAAAGUUAUGAUUGAUGUGAAAGUGAUGCUGCCCAACAGUCCUCUGUCCUUCUACAUACACAGCAGGUAAGAGGUCACUAGGCCACCAGAUGUGCCUGUGCUCUGGGAGCAUUACUGGGUGGUCAACAGUGUGAGGUUACCCACAGAAGUAACAGAGGACUCAUCUCACAUUGGAAGGUUAAAAUCACGACCACUGAGCCAUCUCUUCAGCCCCAAUUUUGUUCAAAGAAAAUUUUCUAUUACCCUGCUGAACGGAAUGGGAGGGUCCUACUUGUGGCGACAGCUGUUUCUGCGCAGGCAGAACUUUGUUAUGAAAAGACUCACUGAUAACCAAGUCAGUCAGACCAUGGGUCAGAUCACACGCACUGAAGUACAAUCGCCACAUACACCAGAGUCCCAGACAGGACAGGCGGCCCACUAAUCAUUCACUUACUCAACAAACACAUUUCAAUGUCUCCUAAAUGGGAGAGAUUAUAGGCAAUGCAAAGAGGAAUGAUUUAUAAACUUCAUAAUUUAUUAUUUUAAGAAAACUAGUUUCAUCUUGUGAGAGGAGAGUGCUUCUGAAAGAAUCCUGCUGACAUUUUGUGGCACGACAGUUUUUUUGUUGUUGAAAAUUGUCAUCCUAAAAUUUUCAGUGGAUCUUUGGUGGCAUCUUUCUCCAAAUAGGUCUUCAAAGAUCUAUUGACUUUGAAACAAAACUACAACUUCAUUAAUGAGUAUCAAUGUGUUAUUUAGAUUUUUUUCAAAUGACUGUUUUUCAGCCUUUUGGCUAAGAUGAAGUGUUAAAACCUCAUCAUAUGCCUUCAUUAAAAUUAUGAAGUUGAAGAACGUGUCACCACUGAGUGAAACCCUGUUAGAACUGCCUAUCUCUGAUGUAACCCAGACUAUUAGUUAAUUAAACCAAGACACUUAAUUGCCAAGAUUUAAGGUAUGUCUACAAACUCUCAAAUAUGUUUAAGUAUAUAUAUAUAUAUAUAUAUAUAUAUAUAUAUGUGUGUGUGUGUGUGUGUGUGUGUGUGUGUGUGUGUGCGUGUGUAUACAUACAGAUAAAGUUGCAGAAAAGGUAAAGUUUCCCUGAACACCAUUCUCUCUUUAUUUAUUUAUUUAUUAUUUAUUUUUUCAGAGCUGAGGACCAAACCCAGCCUUGUGUUUGCUAGGCAAGCGCUCUACCACUGAACUAAAUCCCCAACCCCCGAACACCAUUCUUUAAAAGAAAAAAAAUCUCUGUCUAUUACAUGUUUGUAAUGGGCCUUUGACCAAACCACAUUAAAAACAAACACUCCUACUCCCUGCAAAGACUCAAGAAAUGGAAUCAAGAUUAUCCUUUCGGUGGGUGGAAGAGAACAGUUACAUUGCAUAAACAUGUGGCUGCACCUGUGGGACAAAGUUAGUCAUUUAAUCACCAUGGGUUGUUUUGCAGUGCCACACUGCAUUCAGCUCUGUUGAUGCAUGUCCAUAGAACACAAAUCAUGCAAGUAUUAAAUGAUGGUUAGAUCGGUUCAGGUUCUUGAUUUUAAAAGGUAAGCAAACAAUACCAACUGAUUUCCCUUAACCUAGGUGCUAUGAUAGAAAAGUAAUUUUACUUACAAUUAAGGAAUGAAACAAAUCAUUGAGAAAAAUGAUUAAAAUCUGUCAAAUGGCUCUAUUGUUUCCCUUUUAUUUAAUUUUAUUUUAAUGUUUUUAAUUGAAAUAGAACCACACCAUUUUCUCCCUCCUUUCCCCUUCCUCUAGCCCCACUUAGGUUUCCUUUCUCAAACCAUUCCCAUGUAUGCACGCACACACGCGCGCGCGCGUGUGCGCACGCACACACACACACACACACACACACACACACACACACACACACACACACAGAAUUGUCAGAGUCUGUUUUUGUUGUUGCUGUGGUUUCAAUGCCAACCACUACGAAUUGAACAGCCAGUGUGGGUUGACUAGGAUAAGGAUGGGGUAAAUGUUAUCUUGGUCCCAGUAUUUUCCUGUCCCCUAAGAGGGCCAUUCACUAUCUCUUAGUUGGUACAGUGUGCAGGAAUUUAUAUGGUUCCUCUGGCUUUCUCUAGCAUUUCCCCUUUUCUCCCCCUUUUUGGGGAUAUGCUCUCAUCCAUGUCCACUAUGUUUUAAUGAUUCCUCACACGUGUUUGCAGCUGUUAUCUGUCUUCUGAGGGACAGAAUUUACUUCGUGAUGAUCCAGUAUGGCUAUCCUAUAUAGACAUUCUUAACUCACUCUUGGAAAAUCUGAGCUCACAACCUUUUCCUCGGACAUAAUUUCCUGCUAUAAAUUGUCAGGAAGGCAUGCUGACAUCUGUUUCACGCUCAGAAUAUGCUGUUACCAUUGGCGUGGGCUCCCUUCUUUCCCUCCUUCCCACCAACUCUGUGACUUUAGCCCCAUUUAAUGUUUCUCGAAGGUUCAGGCCUUUUUUUUCUAUUGCAUCUUUCUCAAUCAGAAACUUUGGUUCACUUUCCCGCUUCAAGCUUUCCUGAAUACCUUCUACCUAACUAGGGAGGUUGUUCUGUAACACGAGUUCAUUAUGUUAUUCCACAGCUUCCACCAGUAAAUUUCUAUAGCCUUCAGAAUAUGAUGAGCAUUCUUAUCUUGGGCACAAGUCUCCCCAAUACUUGGUUCCUGUGCUCUGGAGAGGAAACAACUUUCUCGAGUGGAUCAUGACAUCUGUUACCUGAUUGUACAAAUUGGUCCUUAUUUUCUUUCUACCCUGCCCUCCACCCAAUAAAUUCUUACUUUUUUUUAAGCAAUUACUUGACAGGGUGUCCUUUUGAGAAGUUUUUUAUAAGUUAAAAUCAGGUCUGAACAAUAAAAUGAAUAUAGAAGAUCUAUUAUUGAAAGUGCAUUUACGAGAUCACAUUUCAGAGGAUGGGUAGUCCCACAGUGGCCACCUGCAGGUUGAAGAAUCAGAAGACUCAUUAUCUGCUUAGCCCAAGAAACUGGAAGUCCCAGAACAAGGGAGCCAAGGAUGUAGCUCAAGUCUAAGGCUUAAGGCCUGGAAUUACCCUGGGGAUUGGUUGGUGUGAGUCUACAUAAAACAGCUGAAGAAGCUGGAGCCUGCUCUCCAUGAAUGAUGGCAGUGGCCACAGCUGUACGUGCUCACAAAGAACCAAGCUCUUUCCAUGGGCUUCUUCCUUCUUCCCCCUUGGUUCCUUCUGGGCUGCCAGUCUAUUGGACAGUGGUGCCAACUUCAGGGCAGAUCUGCUCACAGAAAACCAGUGUUAGUAUUUAUGCAAGUGGAUCAAAUCAGAAAUGUCAAUUUAGUAGAAAUGACUUUAUUUUUCAAAAAAAAAUCUAAAAAGUUUUGGACUAUAUCCAAGUCAAUACUUCUAACUACUAACCAUAUUAAUUGUAAUAUUACAUUUUUACAUCUUAAAUUUAUUAUUAUUAUUGUGUGUGUGUGUGUGUGUGUGUGUGUGUGUGUGUGUGUGUGUGUGUGCAUGUGGAGGUCAGAGGACAACUUACAGGAAUCCUUUUUCCUUCCAUCAUGUGGGGAUUGAACUCUGAUUACCAAGAAGGCCUUCUUGUGAGCCAUCUCAUUUGCCCAAUAAUGGGAGAUUGAUCUUAAUAAAUUGAACUUGAUGGUCCACAUUUAUAAGCAAUUGGUGGUGGCAAUUAGUCUCCCCAGCUUCAUUCUGAGGUGGUCCACUUUGAAGUUACAGAUGUAACUUGCUACUUUUAUGUCAUUAUGAUACAUCAAAUGCAGUACUAAGACUUUUUUUUAUUGCAGAUACCCCCUCAGAAAAGAGAACAGCCAUGCUGUUAACACUGCCCUGCUGCCUUUUGUUCCCAGCAUGGCAGGCUCCUACUCAACUUCCUGUUCUUUCCAGCAGUCCAUUUCUUCAUCAUUCAACUUGAACUUCUGACAGCUCUGUUUUCCCUUUCGGUUCAGGCAAUUAUUUUUCUUUCUAUUUCACAAGAAAGUGAAUCCAUUAGACCAAAAUACUUUCAGCUUCCUGACAUGAAGUGGACAGGCUUGUCAGAAAGCACAGACUUGGCUUUCCCAUUCUUUACACAAUUAGGUGGAGUCCACCCUCUGUGAGAGCUGAUCUGGCAUCUUUUUCUAGACCAUCUUCUCUCACUUUCUGUAGACCUUGGUGUCUUCCCCCCAGCAUUUAAACACAUUCAACACUUCCAUUAACAGCUAUUUUAUGAACUCAAACAACUCAAUGGCUGAAUAUCUCAAGCAAAUAAAUAAAAACCGGAGAAAGGACCCAAAGCACACUUGUCAAAAUGAAACAAAACAAAGCUAACAACACCAACAACAAAAAAGGCAUACACAUAGACAACAGGUACUUAAAAAAUAUUUCAACAUUAUAACCAUCUUGGAACCACAAAUCAAACCACCAUGAGAUUUCCUGACAUCUAUUAGAAUGGCUAUUAUCAAAACUAUAAAAGACAAAUGUCAAGGGUGUGGAGCAAAGAGGAUUUUUGACCACAGUUGAUGGAAUGGAAGUUAGCGCAGCGUUAUAGAAGAUAGUACAGAGGUUUCUUAGAAACACAACCACAGAACCACACCAUGACUCAGCAAUUCUACUGAUGGUAUGAAUAUGCAGGAAAUGGAAUGCUGUCUUGGAGAGCUGUCUCUGCAGUAUUAUUUACAAUAGCCAAGAUACGAAGUCAACCUAAGCACCCACCAAUAGAUGAAUACAGAACACACACACACACACACACACACACACACACACACUCAUGAAGUUAUUAUUCAAGAGUGAGUGGAAUGAAUGAAUCUUGAAGAAAUUGUGUCAGGCCCAGGAGAACACACAGCACAUGAUCUCACGUGUAUGUAUGGGGGGUACAGAAGCAGAGAUACAAAGUGACAGAAUUUCAGUUAAACAGAAUGAGUAAGUUCAGAGGCAUAGUCUACAGUUUGUGAUUACAGCAUAAUAAUACAGAUUAUUAUAUUGUUUUAUGUUCUUGAAAUUUGUUAAGACAAAGGAUCCUAACUGUUCUCCCAGUGAGCUAGAAAGAUGACGUAGCUGAUAAGUGUGUACUGCUCUUGCACAGGACCCUAGUUAGAUUUCCAGCACUUACCUUCAGUGGCUCACAAUCACCUGUAAACUCCAAUUCCAGCUCCAGGGAAUCUGAUGCCUGCUUUUGGCCUCUGUUGACACUGCACUCACAUGUACAUACCCCUCCACCCUCCAUAAUUUAAAAAAUCUUUUAAAUUUUUUACACUGUUUAAAUUAUUACAAGAAUGUUCUUAUCACAAAAGAGUGACUGAAAGGUCAUAAAUGCAGUAGUUAACUUGACUGUUGUCUUAGGUUUCUGUUGGUUUUUAAAAACACCAUGGCUGGAAGCAUUUUUUAGGGGGGAAUGCUUAUUUCAGUUUACAGUUGUAAUCCACCAUGAAAGGAAGUCAGGGCAAGAACUCAAGCCAGGAACUGAUUCAGAGAUCAUGGAAGAGUGCUACUUAAUGGCUUGCUCAUCUUGCUUUCUUGUUCAGCUCAGGACCAGGAUUGGUGCCACCCGUAGUUGGCUGGAUCCUCCCAUAUAAAUCAUUAAACAAGAAAAUGUCCCACAGACUCGCCCAAAGGCAAAUCUGAUGGUGUCAUUUUCUCACCUGAGGAUCCCUCUUUCCAGAUGACUCUUGCUGAGUCAGGUUGGCAAAAAACUAACCAGAACAAUGGUGGUAAUCAUUUUACAGAGAAUAUGUAUAUUAAAAUAUGUUGUAUACUAUAAACUUAUACAAUUUUUAAUUCUCAACUAUAUCUCACAUGUUAUAAGUAAGAACUACAGGCCACAAGAAUAUAACCCACUGAAAAAUGACAAAAGAAAAAGUUUCUUCUGACACAGAGGUCAGUUGGUGUUUGCAUUCUUUCUUCCUUUUGUUCUGUAACUACAUUUCUGGAAUGAAGGGUAUAUAUCCAUUGUCUCCAUUCAUUGUCUUGUCUUACUCCCACUGGGUCUACAGUCAACUCUAGCCUGGAUUCUGAUCGACUUCUUAUUUUCCCCUUGUCAAAUUACCAUAAUUAUCUUUGACUCUAAAUUCAAUGGGCAUGUUGAAGUUUUAAUGUUAUUGCCUUUAAAAAUAUUUUCAUCUUUUAAAGUUUUAAAAAUGCUUGCUUAUUUUUAUUUUACUUGUAUAGGUGUCACGUCUGCAUGUAUGUCCAUACACCACAUGCAUGUAUUGUCUACAGAGGCCAGGGAAGGAUAGUCAGAUCUCUGGAACUAGAAUGCAGACAAUUGUGAGCCACCAUGUGCUUGACGAGGCCAGAGGCACCAGAUACCUUGAAACUAGAGUUAAAGGUAAUUGUGGGCUGCCUGUUGUGUAUGCUUGGAGUUGAACUUGGGUCCUUUGGGAAAGCGUACUUGCUCUUAACCGCUGAGCCAUCUGUCCAUCUCACCUGCAAUUGCUUCUUUUUUUUUUUUUUUUUAAGAUUCAUUUAUUUAUUAUAUAUACAGUGUUCUGCCUGCAUGUAUGCCUGCAGGUCAGAAGAGGGCGCCAGAUCUCAUUACAUAUGGUUGUGAGCCACCAUGUGGCUGCUGGGAAUUGAACUCAGGACCUCUGGAAGAGCAGUCAGUUCUCUUAACCUCUGAGCCAUCUCUCCAGCCCCGCAAUUGUCUUCUUAAGCAUUCAGUAUUCAAUUCUUUAUUGACAGAACAAGAUGAUGCAGCAAGCAGAUGAAGGAGAUUGUGGCUCCUCCGAAAGCAAUGAACCCCUCCUUGAGUACAGUCAGGCAGAGGGAACUUAUCCAUCAGCAGAAAGGAAUGAGCUAUGAAGUCAGGGAACAACACAGCUGGACCUUAAAUUUUUAGUGCAUUCUUGAAGCUCAAAUGGAAAGUCCACAUACUAUAUGAUUCUAGUUACGUGCCAUUCUAGAAAACCCAAAACCUAGAGAGAUGGUAAAAUUAUCAGUGGUUUCCAGAGGUUGGUGUCUGAGUAGACAGGGCAGAGAGGAUUUGGUGACAGUGAAAAUACUCGAUCAGAGACUGUAAUAAUGUAUCAUGACAUGGACUUGCCCAGAUGAACAAAAUGUGCAACACAUACAGUGAGCCCAAAUGUGAACCUUGGACACUGGGCAACAAUGAGGUAUCAGUACAGGUGUAUGCAUUGUAAUAAAUGUCUUACUUGGGUGUGGGAUGUUGAGAGUAAAGAAGUCUGUGUGUGUAUAGAAAUGGAGUAUCUGGAACCCUCUGUACUUUAUGCUUACUUUUGCUGUGUACAUAAAACAGCUCUAAGAAAUAGUCAUUUUAGAAAAAAACUAGACCAAUGUGGUGGUGUACCCCUAUAACCCUAGCACUUUGAAGACAGAGACAGACAGAUCUCUGUGAGUUCAAAGCUAGCCUGGUCCACAUAAUGAAUUCUAGGCCAGCCCAGUCUAUAAAAUGAGACCUUGCCUAAAACAAAAACAAAAACAAGAAAACCAAACCAAACACCAAAAGCAACCAAGCAAACAAACAUGUUUUUCUUUAACUAUAUCUUUCUCCCUUCUGCACUUGCUGGAUUUUUUUUUUAGAUGGAACUCCCUUGUUUCUUUGAACUAGCCAUGUUCUACUUCACUUCUGAAUCUGGGCUCAUGUCUUGCCCCUACUUGGAAUUCCCUUUUGAUCUUCUCAUCCUGUCAACACACUUCUCUGUUACUGUAUUUCUACUGCAGGCCUCUCAGCUGGGAGUCUGCCUUGCUCACUACAGCAAAUAAAGAGAGAAAAACCCUAAGAACUAAAUAAAUGGGGUCUGGAGAGAUGCUCAGUGUUUAACAGCACUGUUUGCUCUUGUAGAUGAUCCAAGUUUGGUUCCCAGCAUCCACAUGGCUGUUCACAAACAUCUGUAACUCAGAUUCCAGGAGAUCUGCAGCAGUUUCCUAGCCUCCACAGGCUCUAGGCAUGCAAGUAGUACACAUACAUACAUGUGGACACAUACACAUAAAAUGAAAGUAAGAUUUAAAACAAUAACCACAGCCCUAUUUUGCCUCGUUUAACAAGAACAGGAUGUAUUAGAUGUAAAUACAUCUGAAUUUCAUGUAGGCAACUCACUGGCUUUGGUAUAAAUGCAUCUGCCAUUGUAGAAUCAUCUUAUAAUAUUUAAUAUUUUUAUAUUAUUGGCAACAAUUACACUAAAAACCUACUCAUUGUCUAGAAUUCUAAUUGAAUAAGCCAUCUAAUUUCAUGACAACCAAGCUACACUGUAGAAGGUUCUUAAUGAUAUACUCUGAAGAAGAAGGAGAAGGAGGAGGAGGAGGAGGAAGAGAAGAAGAAGAAGAAGAAGAAGAAGAAGAAGAAGAAGAAGAAGAAGAAGAAGAAGAAGAAGAAGAAGAAGAAAGACAGCUUUGUUCAUGUGAAUAUAUGGAAGCACACUUUAUAAAAACAAAAGACAAAUAAACUAGACUUAGAAAAGAAACAACUAUGUCCAAAAUCACAACUCAUCAAACCUUCCUUGCUAAUACAGGAGAAGGGAAAGAAAUACAACUAAUCCAGCAAAACAGAACAUGACCCAGUACGUUUAUAGGAAACAGUAAACCCCUUUCUAUAAUGAUUUUAAAUCUAAAAGGCCUUAAAUCACCACUAGAAAGAAAGACUGGAUUAAAAAUCAGGAAUUAACUAUAUGUUGUAUUCAAGAAACUCUUUUGUAGUGAUAUUUGCUCCACCCAUUACCUUGGGCUAUAGGGCCCAAAAAAGGCGGUGCUUCUUGCCAUUGUACAAGACCUCUUAAAAGGAAAGGGAGAAGGGUCAUGAACCCCUUCUCCCUGCUGCCUGCUUCCUGGUCUGAUCGCUAUUACCUAUUAAAUAGACUCAAGGGGAUUGAUCUUAAUAAGUGGUGCCCAAAGUGGGACACGAACCCACGACCCUUGAAUUAAGAGUCCCGUGCUCUAUUGACUGAGCUAGCUGGGCUGGGUUCGAUGCCGGGCUGAAUCCUCUGGGCAGACUGCAUGGACCCCACCCAUUUACUUCUUAAUGGUUUCACGCCCUUUUGAACUCUCUCUUUAAAGUUCUUUUCAGCUUUCCCUUAUUACUUGUCGACUAUCAGUCUCGUGCUGGUAUUUAGCCUUAGAUGGAGUUUACCACCCACUAUUGGCUGUAUUCCCAAGCAACAUGACUCUAGGAAGACCUGGGCCCAGUGCAAUGUGGGCCUGCUACCGGUCUCACACUGUCCACUGGCUUCUGACAUCAUAUCAUUGACAUCUAUUCAGGAUUUGAAUGGGCAACUCCUAUGAGUUCUGAAAAGGCUGACUCUGAUUAUACACCUAUUAGAAGUUAUGGCCAUCAUGUGAAUACCUGUACAAAUUAAGACUGACAAUGCUCUAGCAAAUGUCUCUGUAGUCGUAAAGUUUCUUCAGCCCUGCCGUCCUGCCUGGCCCUGGAGUCCCACAAGCACUUAUAAAAUAAUCACUUAGAGACUUAAUAUUAUUUACAAACUAUAUGGCCUAUGGCAGGCUUCUUGCUAGCUAGCUCUUAUAAUUUAAUCCAUUUCUAUUAAUCUAUAAGUUGCCACGUAGCCGUGGCAUUACCAGUCUGCUGGCAUCUGGCUGCUCUUUCUGUGGAGGCUGGUGUCUCUCUCUAUUCUCCUUUCUUCUCUCUGUAUACCUGCUUGGAUUUCCCACCUGCCUCUAAGCUGCCUUGCCAUAGGCCAAAGCAGCUUUAUUUAUCAACCAAUCAGAGAAACACAUAUUUACAGCAUACAGAAAGACAUCCCACAGCAUGUCUCAAAUAAAAUUAGACAGUUUUUUGCUUAUUACAAUAUAAAGCAUGUUGCAGGUAUACCACACAAUCCCAUAGGCCAAGCAUUCAUAGAAAGAUUCAAUCAAACUUUAAAGGAUAUGCUAAAUAAACAGAAAGAGGUAACAAUGACUCCAAGAAAUAGAUUACAUAAUGCUUUAUUAACUUUAAAUUUUCUCUAGUCUGAUGAGAAAGGAACAACAGCUGUGGAGAGACACUGAACAACAGAAAAAAAUCCUGAGCUAAACCAACUUGUUUACUUAAAAGAUGUGUUGACCUCAGAAAGGAAACCAGGAUACAUCCUAUGUUGGGGAAGGAGUUUUGCUUUUGUUUCUGCAGAAGAGGGAAAGCUAUGGAUAUCAACAAAAUUAAUAAAAAUUCACUUCAAACAGGAGAAACCUUGAUGAGGAGAAGUAAUAGCUCAUCCACUGAUGUGACAACUCUACAAGUUGUGAGAAAAACUCAAAAAACAAGGGUUGGGGCAGCGUUCUGUUUUUUGUCUUUAUAGGAUAAUAGAAAUGCCCAUCUUCAAGAAAUUAUAAGGCCUUAGAAACCUGAAAAUCCUUCCUCAAAUCACCCUAAAUCCCAACUUUCCAUUUUGAUAUUAAUAAUGUUCAAGUUUUCCACAGUGAAAAAUAAUUCUUUCCAAUAGCAAUCACUGAGGUCUACAGAAGGAAGAUGGGGCCCCACAGCAAUGACUCUGCUCGGUCCAGAAAGAUGCUUCUGUACCUAAGAACACUACUCACUGAUCAGCCUCGGACUGAUAAUUCUUCAAGACAGUUCCAAGAUGAGAUGGUCCAUCAUACUACACUUCUGGCCAGAAUCUCAGACAAUCUUACCCAUUACUCUGAGACUGGCUGCAGACUCUACAGAUAGUCCUGAGACCUAACUAUCUAAGCUUUCUUACAAGACCUCAGAUACCAUUGCCCACUAAACAGCAGGAGGAAAUAUUAAGAACCCCCUUAAAGGUUUCAUUUUUCUCAGGGUUAUGGAUGGAUGGUUAGGGAUGAGGGUGAAACAAUAAAAUUUAGACUCAGUAUUCUCCUUUAGAAGAGAAAAAGGGGACUGGAUAGGUAUAGUAUAUUAAGGUAGAUUAUUGUAUCUACUAGCAGUAUGGUUUAGCAAACUAUCAGCCUUGGAAAAUUUGCACUGAUAUGGAUUCUUGUAUAUUUGAUAUAAAUAUAAAGUAUUCUUAUAUUCCCAUUUAAGAUAAUUUGUAUAUUGAUACAAAUACAAAAUUAUAUUUGUUGUAUUAUAUAUAUAUUUGUACUACUCUUUGAAAUAGUUUGUAUAUUGAUACAAAUGUAAAAUUAUAUUUGUCAUACUGUUCUACCUCUGUUUAGGAUAUUUUGUAUAUUGAUACAUAUUAAAGAUAUUGUUGUCAUAUUUCAUAUUGAACUAUACAUUUCUACCUCUGUUUAAGACAUUUUGCAUAAUGUCACAAUUUUAAGGUCACUGUCCUUAUAGGGGUGCAUCUGCUUACAGAUUGUUUACCUUGUUAAUAUUUAGCCUUAGUCCUUAGGUUGUUUAGGUAGAUAAGACUUACAGAACUAUAGUCGCCCAUGCUUUCUAUAGUUAUGUUAGUUAGGUUUUCCAGAUUUACAGAAACACAUGUCAGAUGGGUAGGUAAUCUUCAAACACUUCAUAGACCUAGAGAAUAUGGCAUUUAAAUGUUUUGAUAGCUUAGAAUUCUGUUGACAUGAGACAAGAUUGCUCCUGGCAGCACUGAUCUGAUCCUGAGAGAAUGUUGGGCUUCUAAGACAUUUUCAUUUGGAAGUUUGUCUUCUUCUUGGCACAAAAUGGCCUGCUGGGCAAAGAAUGGCCCUUGCCUCGACUGCUGACAGUAUGAAUGCUCUCCUUUCUGGCUGAGCAGGACACAAGGAAAAGUGACUAUUGAACCUUGCUAAGACAGGGUAAGAUGGUCUUUCAAAAUUCCUGCUUCUGAAAAUAGUCUGUCAGAUAUUCUAGGUCUGUAUCCAAAUUGAAUGCCCCAAUGAUGCUGAGAAACUUUAGGUGUCUGUCCAGGCUGCCAGUUGUCUCUAUCUAUUCACGCAAGAUUUUCAGAAAUUGCUUGCUUGCAAUUUCCGUUUUCUCAGAUAUUAUUAUGUUUCUUCUCACGUCUUUGAUGGAGUUGAAGACUAGAUAGUUACAGUUAUAAUCUUCUCAUAUUUUAGUUAGAACAUAUUAAAUACUAGAGUUAGAAUCUUCAGGAUAGGACAGCUAUUGAAGUAAUCUCAUUAAUUUGGCAUUUACCUAUGAUCUGGACAAUUCUGGACAUUUAGCAUGUCUUUCUAGUUUGAUGUUGUUCUUGUUGGUUGUAGUUCCAUUUUUGUUUAUGUGAUUACCCUUUGUUUUUUCUGAACAAUACUUGAUAAUUAUCCUUAUUGUAUAUUGUUUGCAUUAAGUUUUGAACCUUCUUAGUUAGACAAAAGGGGGAAAUGUAGUGGUAUUUGCUCUGCUCAUGACCUUAGGUUAUAGGGCCUGAAGGAGGUGGUACUUCUUGCCAUUGUACAUGACCUCUUAAAAAAAAGGGAGAAGAGUCAUGAGUCCCUUCUCCCUACUUCCUGCUUCCUGGUGUGAUUGAACAACCAGGUGGAUUUGCUUCUGGUCAGAACAGAGAACAAUUUCAACUGUUUACUUGGUUCUGUAUUUGUGAGUGUAUUUUCUCAAUUUAUAUCUUAAUAAAUCCCUAUUACCCAUGAAA